AGUCCAGGUGGUCGCCUUCGCCACUGAGUGUUCCUUCCUAUAUCUACGCAUUUCACCGCUACACAGGAAAUUCCACCACCCUCUACCGUACUCUAGCUUGCCAGUUUUGGAUGCAGUUCCCAGGUUGAGCCCGGGGCUUUCACAUCCAACUUAACAAACCACCUACGCGCGCUUUACGCCCAGUAAUUCCGAUUAACGCUUGCACCCUCUGUAUUACCGCGGCUGCUGGCACAGAGUUAGCCGGUGCUUAUUCUGUCGGUAACGUCAAAACAGCAAGGUAUUAACUUACUGCCCUUCCUCCCAACUUAAAGUGCUUUACAAUCCGAAGACCUUCUUCACACACGCGGCAUGGCUGGAUCAGGCUUUCGCCCAUUGUCCAAUAUUCCCCACUGCUGCCUCCCGUAGGAGUCUGGACCGUGUCUCAGUUCCAGUGUGACUGAUCAUCCUCUCAGACCAGUUACGGAUCGUCGCCUUGGUGAGCCAUUACCCCACCAACUAGCUAAUCCGACCUAGGCUCAUCUGAUAGCGCAAGGCCCGAAGGUCCCCUGCUUUCUCCCGUAGGACGUAUGCGGUAUUAGCGUUCCUUUCGAAACGUUGUCCCCCACUACCAGGCAGAUUCCUAGGCAUUACUCACCCGUCCGCCGCUGAAUCAAGGAGCAAGCUCCCGUCAUCCGCUCGACUUGCAUGUGUUAGGCCUGC
rnacentral:rRNA from 1 species